GUGUGUGUGUGUGUGUGUGUGUGUGUGUGUGUGUGUGUGUGUGUGUGUGCAGGCAUCAGUGUGUGUGCGUGUGUGUGUGUGUGUGUGCAGGCAUCUCGUGUGUGCAGGCAUCUGUAUGUGUGUGUGUGUGUGCAGGCAUCUCUCUGUGUGUGUGUGUGUGUGUGUGUGUGUGUGUGUGUGUGUGUGUGUGUGUCUGUGUGUGUGCGUGUGCAGGCAUCUCUCUGUGUGUGUGUGUGUGUCUGUGUGUGUGUGUGCGUGUGUGUGUGUGUGUGUGUGUCUGUGUGUCUGUGUGUGUGUGCGUGCCCAUGCAUACUGAUAUCUUCACAACCCCGUCUGUCUAGGUGUGACUUUCCCAGAAAUAAACAGGUAAUAAACAGGUGGUAAUUUAUACUUGAAUUUAUACUUAUACUUGAAUAACUUUAAAAAAAAUGUAUUCAGUUAAAGUUCUGGUAGUUUACCUGAAACGUUUCCAGUAAUAUACCCUCCCUUUGCAAACCUAAUUGGGCAACAUACAUGGGUAUAAAUACGGUACUACUAGUGGUUAAUUAUUAAAACAAAUAUGUUAUUCCCUUUAU
ensembl:lncRNA